rnacentral:misc_RNA from 1 species
GAUGAAGAACGUAGCAAAAUGCGAUAAGUAAUGUGAAUUGCAGAAUUCAGUGAAUCAUCGAAUCUUUGAACGCACAUUGCGCCCCCUGGUAUUCCGGGGGGCAUGCCUGUCCGAGCGUCAUUACAACCCUCAAGCUCAGCUUGGUAUUGGGCCCCGCCGACCCGGCGGGCCCUAAAGUCAGUGGCGGUGCCGUCCGGCUCCGAGCGUAGUAAUUCUUCUCGCUCUGGAGGUCCGGUCGUGUGCUCGCCAGCAACCCCCAAUUUUUUUCAGGUUGACCUCGGAUCAGGUAGGGAUACCCGCUGAACUUAAGCAUAUCAAUAAGCGGAGGA